rnacentral:rRNA from 1 species
UACGGAGGGAGCUAGCGUUGUUCGGAAUUACUGGGCGUAAAGCGCGCGUAGGCGGCUUUGUAAGUUAGAGGUGAAAGCCCGGAGCUCAACUCCGGAACUGCCUUUAAAACUGCAUCGCUUGAAUCCAGGAGAGGUGAGUGGAAUUCCGAGUGUAGAGGUGAAAUUCGUAGAUAUUCGGAAGAACACCAGUGGCGAAGGCGACUAACUGGACAUGUAUUGACGCUGAGGUGCGAAAGCGUGGGGAGCAAACAGG